UGCACAGGUUUACCUGCAGCAGUAUUCCUGCCAGAGCUCCACUCUGGUCAGAGACUUUUAUCCUGAGAACUGCUUUGAGUUAAUUUUCUUGUGUCCACAUCCCCUAUCACAGUAGAAUAACAUGUUUGGAAUGUGAAUGCUCAGCUGUCUGAGAAGGGCACAUCUACUCACGUGAAGCCAGCAGGGCAGCACACUUGUGAUAAACCUUAAUGAAGGGAUCUGAGUUGAUUCUCUGCUUCAGUUGAGCCUAAAAACAUUUGGACAGCAGCAGCAACAGAAACUUCCAACACUGACAAGCAGUGACUGUAAGGGUGGCUAACUGAUGGGGCUCCUCCAAAACCAGAACCUGACUCUGGGUAUCGUUCAACCAGAGGUCAACCACUGGGAGUCAACACCACACCUGUCAUCAAUUGUUCACAACACCAUCAUUGUGCUGAGUGUGUUGACCUUUGUCCUCCAGCUGUGUUUAAUUUCAGUCUUCUUGCUGAAACUCUGGAGAUUUGACAACAGUGUACGACAGGCUCUCAAACACCCAAACAAACACAAUGACAUUUAUAAACAGGCCAACUACCUGCCAUUUGAUGCUGCUGCUGUCCCUUCAUCACCUGCAGUGUCUGCAGCAGUGGUAGAAUAUGAACCCACCACGCACUCUCUGUAUGAGCCUUUCAUACACUGGGACCUGGUUCAGCACUGAGACUCCUGAUCCUCCUGGCAUUUACAAAAAUUAAAUGAGUUAUUAGAUAUUCAAGGUUAACUUCAGUGUAAGGCACUGUAGCGUAAUGGAAUGCAUCCUUUUUAAACAAUGUGAAAUGUAGUGAUACUAGCUUUGUCUUUAGAGGCCUCUGAUGUUCUGCCAUCAUUGUAACUAGGUAUUUAAAAAAGUUAAGCUGUACUAACUUUUGGGUAAUGUUUCAGAAUUAAGAAAACUUCAUUCAAAAUGCCAUUGAGAUUUUUAACAUCACUUAUAACCACAAACUGUGACUUUGUACACAGCUUUUCUCAACAAAAUAUCAUGUCUUGCUUAAUGAUAUACAAUGUAGUGUCCACAAGUCCAAAGUAGAGGGACUCAGAAUAUACAAAGUUAUACCUUCAACUUUGAUUCUAGGCAUUGAGAGCAGCCAGAAGACUGCGACAUGCAACCUGCUCUCUGGACUGUCUCUCCUUAUCAGAUGGAGGCCACCCAUUAGAAUGCAUCUUGGACUCACACCUCUGACCUUAGAAAAUAAUUUCCAAUUAACUCAAACCAGUACAUGACAUUUGGGUCCCUCUUGUCUGAUCAGUCUCCAAAGUAGCAAAACACAGGAAUGCAAAGGGAAUCUCCCUUAUCUUCACGAGAAUGUGAACAGUGCCAUAAGCUGACUUAACACACACAGUCUUUUGUAUAAACACUUGGAAAUGGAAACUUUAACCAAGAGUCGCUGUACCAGAGUCAAAUUCCUUGUGUGUUCAACACACCUGGCCAAUAAAGGUGAUUCUGAAGAGUUGUGUGAAAUAUCUAUAAAAAAUGUUGAAAUGUUUGUGUCAAACUGAUGAGCACAAAUAACUACAAAGACUUCUUCCUUAGAAUUCUUAUAACAGUAGAAAUGAUUCCAAAGCCUGAAGUUGCAAUGUGAUACAUUAAUGUUCAAUGAAACUAAUACAUGCUUAUUAUUUCAGAUGCUUGACAAGUCAACUAUCACCAGAGACUUUGUUAAUCCUGACCCCCAAACUCUGCAGUACUGCUCAGAAAGGGUUAUAUAAGAAAUUGCUCUUUGAUUUCUAUAUUUUAAUGAUUGUGUGUUAAUUGAUUGUCUUUUAUUCUCAAAGUUACAAAGUUAACCAUUCCUUUCUUUCCACAGAAUGAUCCACAUAUGAGUCUCAUGUCAAACUGUGUUGCUUAAAAUUGUGUUUAGAUGUAUCCCACAUUAGUUAUAUCAAAUGUUUUAAAGCAUGUAGAAUCUAGCUCAAAUUCUGACCAGAAUAACAACUUUCCACCAUUGUUAACAACAGGUCAGUCAUUCAUCAGAGUAUGUAUUACAUCUUUCCUCCUGAUCAUUUUCCCUGUGUACAUAUUGUAAAUAAAUGCAUUUAGCUUA